CCUACGGGUGGCAGCAGUAGGGAAUAUUUCACAAUGGGGGAAACCCUGAUGGAGCGACGCCGCGUGAGUGAAGAAGGAUUUCGGUAUGUAAAGCGCUUUCAGAAGGGAAGAAAAUGACGGUACCUGACUAAGAAGCCCCGGCUAACUACGUGCCAGCAGCCGCGGUAAUACGUAGGGGGCAAGCGUUAUCCGGAUUGACUGGGUGUAAAGGGAGCGUAGACGGCAGCGCAAGUCUGAAGUGAAAUCCCAGGGCUUAACCAUGGAACUGCUUUGGAAACUGUGCAGCUGGAGUGCAUGAGAGGGAAGCGGAAUUCCUAGUGUAGCGGUGAAAUGCGUAGAUAUUAGGAGGAACACCAGUGGCGAAGGCGGGUUACUGGACUGUAACUGACGUUGAGGCACGAAAGCGUGGGGAGCAAACGGGAUUAGAUACCCUUGUAGUC
rnacentral:rRNA from 1 species